rnacentral:rRNA from 1 species
CGACCGGCGCACGGGUGAGUAACGCGUAUGUAAUCUACCUGUAACAGAGGGAUAACCCGGAGAAAUCCGGACUAAUACCUCAUAGCACAUAUUAUUCGCAUGAAUUUUAUGUUAAAGAGACUCGGUUACAGAUGAACAUGCGUUCCAUUAGCUAGUUGGCGGGGUACGGCCCACCAAGGCAACGAUGGGUAGGGGUUCUGAGAGGAAGGUCCCCCACACUGGUACUGAGACACGGACCAG